GAUGAACGCUGGCGGCGUGCCUAAUACAUGCAAGUCGAGCGAAUGGAUUAAGAGCUUGCUCUUAUGAAGUUAGCGGCGGACGGGUGAGUAACACGUGGGUAACCUGCCCAUAGGACUGGGAUAACUCCGGGAAACCGGGGCUAAUACCGGAUAACAUUUUGAACCGCAUGGUUCGAAAUUGAAAGGCGGCUUCGGCUGUCACUUAUGGAUGGACCCGCGUCGCAUUAGCUAGUUGGUGAGGUAACGGCUCACCAAGGCAACGAUGCGUAGCCGACCUGAGAGGGUGAUCGGACACACUGGGACUGAGACACGGCCCAGACUCCUACGGGAGGCAGCAGUAGGGAAUCUUCCGCAAUGGACGAAAGUCUGACGGAGCAACGCCGCGUGAGUGAUGAAGGCUUUCGGGUCGUAAAACUCUGUUGUUAGGGAAGAACAAGUGCUAGUUGAAUAAGCUGACACCUUGACGGUACCUAACCAGAAAGCCACGGCUAACUACGUGCCAGCCGCCGCCGUAA
rnacentral:rRNA from 1 species